AAAAAGCCUUUCCCGACUAGGUGCAGAUCAUUUGAACCACUUGCUCACUGACUUAGAGGUCAAGUGGUGUAGACCAGCCAGCUAAUCAGCCCAAAAGCACUUUACAGUGGCAGUACAAGUAAAUAGCUGAUGAGUCAUUACCCUUCAAGCUGCAUUUAGGCAAGAUUACUGCUAUAGGAGGCCAAGCCAAAGUGUCUAUAAAAGAAGAAAGAGAAAUCAGAGAUAAAGACACUCAAUCAAACAAACAAAUACAAGUACAAACUCUGCUCAAAGCCAGAUUUGCCUUCAAACGAAGCUGUAGUCAGCCCAAGCCUUCAUCCCUCUCGGGAUCAACCUUCACCCAAACCUUUUGUAAUAGCUCUGCUACCUCGUCUUAAAACUUGCUGUAGUAUCGAUUUCUUCCUGUAAACUCAUCUCCCUACCCCCCUUUCUAAAGCUCUCAAACCCCUUGAUAAACCACAAAGAUAGGAAGUUGCAAGACGAUCAGCCUUGCCCGACAAGGUGAAACCUUGCCCGACCCUCUUUGGUUUUGUCUUUUCAUUCUUUAGCCUAGCAAUAUGUUGUAUACUUCCAGUUGUAUUCUAGUUAUUUCUAGUAAGAUGACGAUUAAAAGACUUUCUCAGUUCUUGAAUCCGAUUUGAAUAUGUCUUUAUAGUUUAAAUCAGAUCUAAGUUCUAAGCUCUCGGGCAUGUAAGAUUGAUCAUUCAAAAGUCCUUGGUCUCAAGGCAUAAAAAAAGAACCUUAUGUGGACUUAACCCAUCCACGACAAGCUUUGAUAAACAAGAAGUCCGAAGUUACUUGAGGCGCAAGUAAUCGACCUAUCACUUAGUUUUAUUUCUAUUAUAUUAUGAUUAUAGCAGAACGUUUGAGUAUAGAAUGAAUUCUGAUGGGAAGCCUCAAGGCCUAUAUCUAAGGCCCUACAAAGGU
rnacentral:lncRNA from 1 species